rnacentral:snRNA from 1 species
AAGUUGAGAUUAAUCUUGCUUCA